rnacentral:rRNA from 1 species
GUCCACGCCCUAAACGAUGUCAACUGGUUGUUGGGUCUUCACUGACUCAGUAACGAAGCUAACGCGUGAAGUUGACCGCCUGGGGAGUACGGCCGCAAGGUUGAAACUCAAAGGAAUUGACGGGGACCCGGCACAAGCGGUGGAUGAUGUGGUUUAAUUUCGAUGCAACGCGAAAACCUUAACCCACCUUUGUACAUGUACGGAAGUUACCAGAGAUGGUUUCGUGCUCGAAAGAGACCGUAACACAGGUGCUGCAUGGCUGUCGU